AAUAUCAUCCUCGGUCACUGUGGGCUCUGGAGAAUUCAGCACUGCUUUUAGUUAAACAAUGUUCCUGUUAUUUUUGCUGCUGCUGGCAGCUUCAUCCUAUGUGGAAUGUGCAGUAGAACUCACUCAGGUCUCCUCAGUGAUGUUAAAGCCAGGAGAAUCUUUAACCCUCAGCUGUAAAGUAUCCGGAUACUCUGUUACUGAUAACAGCUACGGCACAGCUUGGAUUCGACAACCUGCAGGGAAAACUCUGGAAUGGAUAAACCACAUUUGGGGAGGUGGAACAAUUCGUCAAAAAGAGUCUCUAAAAAACAAGUUCAGUAUUUCUAAAGACGGCUCCAGCAGCACGGUGACUCUGAGAGGACAGAAUCUACAGACAGAAGACACAGCUGUGUAUUACUGCGCCCGCUACACACACACUGAUACUUCCACUUAG